UACGUAGGUGGCAAGCGUUGUCCGGAAUUACUGGGCGUAAAGCGCACGUAGGCGGCUUUUUAAGUCGGGGGUGAAAUCCUGGAGCUCAACUCCAGAACUGCCUUCGAUACUGGAAAGCUCGAGUCCGGGAGAGGUGAGUGGAACUGCGAGUGUAGAGGUGAAAUUCGUAGAUAUUCGCAAGAACACCAGUGGCGAAGGCGGCUCACUGGCCCGGUACUGACGCUGAGGUGCGAAAGCGUGGGGAGCAAACAGG
rnacentral:rRNA from 1 species